rnacentral:rRNA from 1 species
UACAGAGGUCUCAAGCGUUGUUCGGGAUUCAUUGGGCGUAAAGGGUGCGUAGGCGGCGCGGUAAGUCGGGUGUGAAAUCUCGGAGCUUAACUCCGAAACUGCAUUCGAUACUGCCGUGCUUGAGGACUGGAGAGGAGACUGGAAUUUACGGUGUAGCGGUGAAAUGCGUAGAUAUCGUAAGGAAGACCAGUGGCGAAGGCGGGUCUCUGGACAGUUCCUGACGCUGAGGCACGAAGGUCAGGGGAGCAAACGGG